AUUGAACGCUGGCGGCAGGCCUAACACAUGCAAGUCGAGCGGAUAAAGGGAGCUUGCUCCUGGAUUCAGCGGCGGACGGGUGAGUAAUGCCUAGGAAUCUGCCUGGUAGUGGGGGAUAACGUCCGGAAACGGGCGCUAAUACCGCAUACGUCCUGAGGGAGAAAGUGGGGGAUCUUCGGACCUCACGCUAUCAGAUGAGCCUAGGUCGGAUUAGCUAGUUGGUGGGGUAAAGGCCUACCAGGGCGACGAUCCGUAACUGGUCUGAGAGGAUGAUCAGUCACACUGGAACUGAGACACGGUCCAGACUCCUACGGGAGGCAGCAGUGGGGAAUAUUGGACAAUGGGCGAAAGCCUGAUCCAGCCAUGCCGCGUGUGUGAAGAAGGUCUUCGGAUUGUAAAGCACUUUAAGUUGGGAGGAAGGGCAGUAGGUUAAUACCUUGCUGUUUUGACGUUACCAACAGAAUAAGCACCGGCUAACUUCGUG
rnacentral:rRNA from 1 species